GACACGGCCCAGACUCCUACGGGAGGCAGCAGUGGGGAAUUUUGGACAAUGGGCGCAAGCCUGAUCCAGCAAUGCCGCGUGUGUGAAGAAGGCCUUCGGGUUGUAAAGCACUUUUGUCCGGAAAGAAAUCCUUUGGCCUAAUACGUCGGGGGGAUGACGGUACCGGAAGAAUAAGCACCGGCUAACUACGUGCCAGCAGCCGCGGUAAUACGUAGGGUGCAAGCGUUAAUCGGAAUUACUGGGCGUAAAGCGUGCGCAGGCGGUUCGCUAAGACAGAUGUGAAAUCCCCGGGCUUAACCUGGGAACUGCAUUUGUGACUGGCGGGCUAGAGUAUGGCAGAGGGGGGUAGAAUUCCACGUGUAGCAGUGAAAUGCGUAGAGAUGUGGAGGAAUACCGAUGGCGAAGGCAGCCCCCUGGGCCAAUACUGACGCUCAUGCACGAAAGCGUGGGGAGCAAACAGGAUUAGAUACCCUGGUAGUCCACGCCCUAAACGAUGUCAACUAGUUGUCGGGUCUUCAUUGACUUGGUAACGUAGCUAACGCGUGAAGUUGACCGCCUGGGGAGUACGGUCGCAAGA
rnacentral:rRNA from 1 species